rnacentral:sRNA from 1 species
AUUGUUGUCCAACCCAUCUGCCUUCAAUUCAUGACUGCUUUUCGCCCUUAUUCAUAUACUAUCAUCGUGACUGCGAACUCCCUGUGUAUUGUAAAGACUGGCGUGAGAAUGUUGGAAAGGGAAAUUCGCUACACAAGGUGAACUUUCAGUGAUGGUUCACCACUUUGGGAAUCACCAUUGUCAAAUAUUCGACCGAUGUUAUAACAUGAGCCUCCAAAACUCGCGGUUAAAUCAUGUACACCAAAAUAUUCAUCCGUCAAACCCUCUCUCCAGGAAACAUUUAUACAUCUGAAGUCAAUUGUUUAUUUCAUAUGUUUGAACAUUCUAACAGCGU